CGGGGUGUAGCGCAGUCUGGUAGCGCAUCUGGUUUGGGACCAGAGGGUCGUAGGUUCGAAUCCUAUCGCCCCGACCA
rnacentral:tRNA from 24 species